UUCCUCUGUAAAGCUCUCAACCCUGUCCCCUUCCCCCUCUCUCCUGGGAAAGAGCCCUCCCAUGCCUAGCUGCUGCUCUUAGGGACCCUGUGGCUAGGUGCGCGGAUGGAAAUCCAGCCCUCAGGUCCUCGAUGAUCUUGAAGUAAUGGCUCCAGUCUCUGACCUGGGGUCCCUUCUUCUCCAAGUGCUCCCGGAUUUUGCUCUCCAGCCUCCGGUUCUCGGUCUCCAGGCUCCUCACUCUGUCCAGGUGGAGGAGGUGCUGGCGAGUUUGAAAUUUGGGAGUCUUGACCGGGCGCAGUGGCUCACGCCUGUAAUCUCAGCACUUUGGGAGGCCUAGGUGGGCGGAUCACGAGGUCAGGAGAUCGAGACCAUCCUAGCCAACAUGGUGAAACCCCCUCUCUACUAAAAUACAAAAAAUUAGCCGGACGUGAUGGUGCACGCCUGUAGUCUCAGCUACUUGGGAGGCUGAGGAAGGGGAAUCGCUUGAACCUGGGAGGCGGAGGUUGCAGUGAGCCGAGAUCGCGCCACUGCAGCCUGGCGACAGAGUGAGACUCUGUCUCAAAAAAAAAAAAAAAAAAAAAGAAAAAAGAAA
rnacentral:lncRNA from 1 species